rnacentral:rRNA from 1 species
AGAGUUUGAUCCUGGCUCAGACGAACGCUGCGGCGGGCUUAACACAUGCAGUCGAACGAGGUUCACCGAGUAGCAAUACAAGGGAAGACCUAGUGCGAACGGGUGAGUAUCACGUGAGAAACCAACCCCGGUCUCUGGGAUAACAGUUGGAGACGACUGCUAAUACUGGAUGUCGUCGUACCCUCGCAUGGGGGGAUGACGAAAGGGUUACCGGAUCGGGACGGUCUCGCGGCCUAUCAGCUUGUUGGGGAGGUAACGGCUCACCAAGGCUUCGACGGGUAGCUGGUCUGAGAGGAUGAUCAGCCACACUGGGACUGAGACACGGCCCAGACUCCUACGGGAGGCGGCAGUGGGGAAUCUUGCGCAAUGGGCGAAAGCCUGACGCAGCAACGCCGCGUGCGUGAUGAAGGCCUUCGGGCUGUAAACCGCUUUCAGCAGGAACGAAAAUGACGGUACCUGCAGAAGAAGGAGCGGCCAACUACGCGCCAGCAGCCGCGGUGACACGUAGGCUCCAAGCGUUGUCCGGAUUUAUUGGGCGUAAAGAGCUCGUAGGCGGUUUAGUAAGUCGGGUGUUAAAACUCUGGGCUCAACCCGGAGAGGCCAUCCGAUACUGCUGUGACUUGAGUUCAGGAGGGGAGCGGGGAAUUCCU